GCCUAUAUACUUCACUCCUGAAGGGGGGAGAGAGGCAACAGACGUCAUUAGCACGAGCUUAGGUGCUGUGGGGACAAGGAAGAGUAGAUGGAGUCUGAGCAACGACCCUCAAAGAGACAUGGUGUGGGGUACCCAAAGAAUCCAGAAGAAGGCAUC